CUUGCACAUACCGUGAUAUAGUUGGCGAAAUAUAUCGAAUAGAUCUGGUUACAGAUGUUAAGCUCCCCGCUGCCAAAUCCCCAACAGACCGACGGUGAGGGGUCGAUCGAGCUACUCCGGGAACACUUAGCUCAAGCAAAAACUGUGGCUCCACGAAGGCUCCUGUUUUCGAGACACCACAAUCGUCUCAGUUUAUUCGCUACCUGGUCCGAAGUAAAAACACGAUGGUUGUUACCGGACAGACACCACUAGCUAGUUCAAUGAGCGGCAUUGGAAAGGUCUUUGUUCAAAUCAACGCUUGACUGCAGAAGUCUUCACUGCUUUACAUCAACGCUAGCUGUCCACCGAUGCAACCAUAAUAUGUGUAUGGCAUAGCUCUGAAACAGAAGCAUUGCCUACCUAAUAGCAGUAAAAGAAGGAACUAUUUAAAGAAAAAUUGCUUGACGACAUUUUUCACUUUAUAUUUAGCACAAUUAAUUGUUAAUUCGCUGUAAAUAAGUCCUCAGAACCGCCCAUUUUUAAAUGUUACAUCGAGAAACUGCCCUAGUAGUAGUUUAACUUUGCUAGUUAGUAGGCCUUUGCUGGACUUUUCAGAGGUUUCUCCAACAUGUUUAUGAAACGGCAUUGCAACCAUAUAAGCAAGUACUAACUUUAAUAAUAAUAAUACGUCACCUUCGCUAAAUCCUUAUUGUUCAUUCGCGUUUUAUAUUUCUGAUUACUAGUAUCUAGUUAUAAUGUUUGCCAACACUGAAAUUCAAACCACGGUGACAAUAUGCUUGCUAGUUAAAGUCUAGAUUCAAAACCGGGCAUACUUGGUUUUAUACUGGGGGCAGUUUACUAUAGGAAAGCUUUAUGGCAGGCAUCGGGCUUAAAUUUUAAAGCAUUUAGUUUAGAUGAAGCAAGGGGAAACGUUUGUGUUUGCCAGAAGCAUAUCAAUUUACUUAUGGCACUAAAAUCCAUCCUUCUAUUUGCCCAGCUUUAUUAUGGAUGUUAUAAUCUAAGCAAGUUGCGGUUGUUACUCAGUGUUUUCUUGAAGCUACCCUUCACUGAAUGGUUAUUUUUUUCCAUUUCAGGAAUACUUUUGAUUUAAAGAAAAAUGUAUAAACUGUAUCUCAAACAUUUACUACGCAUUGCAAAAAAAGUUCUUUUUUUUUUUUCUUAAACUCAUAUUAUACAAAUAUGAUGAAGGUCAAAGUAGCUCAGAGAGCUCAAAUAGGAGUCAUAUAAUGCGAUUUUUCAGCUAAUCGCUGCAGCGACCAACUAUUUUCUGAAUACUUAAGCAAGUUUAACAUUUUGAGUGCUUAUAAUAGUGACAAAC